AUGGAAAUACAACUUUAGCUUACGGGAUAAGGUUGUUGUUCUAGUUCUUAUACUCAAUCAUACACUCAACAUCUAGUCAUAUU
rnacentral:sRNA from 1 species